rnacentral:rRNA from 1 species
UACGUAGGGUGCAAGCGUUGUCCGGAAUUAUUGGGCGUAAAGAGCUCGUAGGCGGUUUGUCGCGUCUGCUGUGAAAACUCGGGGCUUAACCCUGGGCCUGCAGUGGGUACGGGCAGACUAGAGUGCGGUAGGGGAGACUGGAAUUCCUGGUGUAGCGGUGAAAUGCGCAGAUAUCAGGAGGAACACCGGUGGCGAAGGCGGAUCGCUGGGCCAACACUGACGCUGAGACGCGAAAGCUAGGGUAGCAAACGGG